rnacentral:lncRNA from 1 species
GGGCCGCUGGGGGUCUAGCCGACAGGGCUCGCCCGCCGCCUGAACCCCGCCUACGGUGGGUCCCGCAGGACCUCACUGCGCCCUCUGCCUUUAUCUGGGCAGGGCUAGAAAUGGUCUACUUGCAGUCCGUCUUCAUGCUUCAUCCGGUGGCCAGGCAGAGGGAACGGCACGGGCAAGGACCUGGAAGGGAAUCCGAGUGGCCCAUGUCAAACGAUGCCCAUAACUCAGCCCCGUAGCGGACGGGGGCACGAGGAAUCAGAUGGAGAAACUGAGGCCAGAAGAGGCGAGCUUACCUGCCCAAGGCAUCUAGUGACCAGAGGGGCAGCCAGGGUGUGAUCCUGCCUCAUCUGACUUCGUAGUUGGGUACACAUUUAACUUCCGCCUUCCUGUGUGUGUUUUCCAAGAGCAUCAUUAAAAAGUUUUGGCCGGGUGCGGUGGCUCACGCGUGUAAUCCCAGCACUUUGGGAGGCCGACGUGAGUAGAUCACCUGAGGUCAGGAUUUCGAGACCAGCCUGGCCAACAUGGCAAAACCCUGUCUCUACUAAAAAAAAAUACAAAAAUUGGCUGGGUGCGGUGGCUCAC